AUUGAACGCUGGCGGCAGGCCUAACACAUGCAAGUCGAGCGAGCGGCGGACGGGUGAGUAAUGUAUGGGGAUCUGCCCGAUAGAGGGGGAUAACUACUGGAAACGGUGGCUAAUACCGCAUACUGUCGGAUGAACCCAUAUGGGAUUAGCUAGUAGGUGGGGUAAAGGCUCACCUAGGCGACGAUGUCUAGCUGGUCUGAGAGGAUGAUCAUCCAAACUGGGACUGAGACACGGCCCCGACGCCUACGGUAGGCAGCAGUGGGGAAUAUUGCACAAUGGGCGCAAGCCUGAUCCAGCCAUGCCGCGUGUGUGAAGAAGGCCUUAGGGUUGUAAAGUUCUUUUAGCGGGGAGGCGUUACCCGCAGAAGAAGCACCGGCUAACUCCGUGCCAGCAGCCGCGGUAAUAC
rnacentral:rRNA from 1 species